UACGUAGGGGGCAAGCGUUGUCCGGAAUCAUUGGGCGUAAAGCGCGCGUAGGCGGCCCGGCAAGUCCGCUCUGAAAGUCCAGGGCUCAACCCUGGAAAGCGGGUGGAUACUGCCGGGCUAGAAUCCGGAAGAGGCGAGUGGAAUUCCUGGUGUAGCGGUGGAAUGCGCAGAUAUCAGGAGGAACACCAAUAGCGAAGGCAGCUCGCUGGGACGGUAUUGACGCUAAGGCGCGAAAGCGUGGGGAGCGAACAGG
rnacentral:rRNA from 1 species